GUCAAAUAUGAUUUUUGUUUUGGUGAAUGAGUCAAAUAUGAUGGUAAUACACCACAGCUACCUCUUUUAAUUUUCACCUUCCAAAUUUAUUGCAUCCUUCCUUCAUUUCUCCAUUCGUGUUUAAUGAUAGAAGUUGGUUGAAUUUGGGAUAGACCUAAUAGUUAUAUGCAGGGGUGCCACUAAAUUAGAAAACAUUAUUUGAGAAGAAGGAGACAAAACACAAAAAGGGGUUCGUGGCGGUGAUGAUGAUGACCACCACCCAUGCUGACAAUGAUAUUUUUUUUUGGACAUAUCUUCCCUUGUCAAUUUUAGGAUGCUAGGAUAUGGAAGCUUAGAUCUGUGGAGGGGAAUGACGCGCGGAGGAUCAUGGAGGGAUUGUUGAUCGGACCACGGCUUAAGAUGGUGGUGUUGCAUGACGGAUGACAAAGGUACGGUUUUUUCCUUGAAUUAUGAGUUCAGGUUCAGAGGUCGACAACUUCGGGGAUUUUGAGGGGUCGAGUUUCUGGUUAAGGUGGACAGAGGUAUUCGAUUAUGAAGAUGUGUCUACCUCUGAUUUGAGUUUGGGUUCUAGCAGCUUUUCUUCUAGGAGUUCGACCUCCUUGUCCGAGGACAAUCCGACAUAACUUGCUAUUGAGGAGAAUUUGGUGGAUUUGGUUUAGAUAUCGUCCAACGAAAGAGUGAGUGUUGACGCACCUUUAAAUGAUAAUGUGACAAUCAUUGUUAAGCCGAAAUGUCAAGUGCCAGUAAAAAAGAAAGAGUACUCGCCGAUUACUCUACUAUGGUAUUCAUGGGUUGAUGGUGAGGUGGAUUCCUUCUAUUCCUGUUACAACGAUAAAGUCAAUAUUCUUCACUUUAUCAAUUGUGUAAACAUAUGUACUUUUAAGGACGAAGAAGUGAACCCAAUUCAUCUUCGGUGUUGUCCACAGAUGCUUAUGACAAUCCAGAUUAAGUAUUUCUAGAGAGGGUGAGGCCGAGGCCAAUUCAUAGGGAGCCGAACGGGGAACUGCCCACCAAGGUGGUAUCCUUGAGGGACUAUUUCUAUGUGUAUGAUUGAAUAUUUUGUAAUCUUCAUGUAGAGAUUCCCUUUGAUUAUUUCACCAUGAUGUGCUUCACAUUCCCAAUGCGGCUCCUUCACAACUUCAUCCGAAUGGGUAAGUGGCAAUUCAAGCCUUCUGCAUUUUAUAUAGAUUCUUUAGGAUGGAACCAACGACUGGGCUAUUCCUUCAUCAUUUCCAAACUAGGAAAUGGAUAAAGCUCAAUGUAUGUCACUAAUCCGGCAUCAGGAAAGACUGUUGUUUAGGCUAUUCACUUCAUCCUACUAAAAUUAUAAGUUGGAUAUUUUAAUGUGGUCAUCCUUCCCGAUUUGGGUGAUAACCAUUUUUAUGAUGUAAAUAAGAAGCCUCUAUCCCUUUCUAUUGGCAACGAGUGCGGAAAAAAGGUAUGGUGACUAUCUUGUGGACUACUUGACCGACUUGGAGCAUCAUAACCUGAUCCUUCCAAAGAAGUUACCACAGAGGUUGCCAGCCAAGCCCCUCGUUUUAGUCUUCAAGUCUUCAAUUAUUUUUAAGGACUUGAAUGGUAUGUUUUCUUUCUCUUUAGCAUUUCUUGAUUAAUACUACAAUGUUAUUUACUUAGUUUAUUUUGCAGCUAUACUCAAAUCUGUCGGGAUGGAUGCACUCAAUUUUGCCAACAUAUGCUGAGAGAAGCAUGUGUGAAUGCCAAAAAUGCCUUUUAUAAAUCACUUUUUGAAUGAUAUUUUGUGUGAGUUUUUCUAUCAUUUACGUGCAUUUUCUUGGCAAAAAUCACGUUUGAACACUAGUUUUGUAUUGCAAGAGUAUAACCGCUCCAUUGAGUGAAAGAGUUGAAAAUUACAUGAUUUUAUGAAGAUCUGAAGACUUUGCACUUGAUAACAAUUGUGGUACAUUUAUCACGACCGUGGUAAGUAGCACAACCAUGGCAAAAGGAUAACUGCCCUCCAAACAACACCAACCUUCUGACAAUGGUCGUGGUAAAUUCCAUCAUGGUCGUAGUCAACUCAUAAGGGCCGUAGUCAAUCCACAACGCCCCAGAGCUUCAACGUCAUGACUUUUUGCCCAUGUCGUAAUGGAUUUCAUCACGGACAUAGUGUGCCUUUUCUGAUUGACAUCUUUUUGAGAAAUUAUAAAUAUGGGUCGUAUCUUGUAUCUUUAGUACCUUUUACCUAGUUUUGAAUUUGAGAACUUUUGAGGGUUUUGAGAGUUGUGAAGUGUAGACAACACCGUAAGGACAAAUCAUGAUCAUUGUUUCUUCCUUAUUGGUAUGUCUAUGUCUAUUUCAUAUAGGAUUAUGAGUUGUGCUCUGAUCAUGAGCGACUAGUCACCCUAGUCUAUGGGUUAUGAUGUAACUAUUCAAUUGUAUCCCUUUCCUUGUUCUUAAUGAAAUUCCUUAAUCUUUUAUGUUAA